rnacentral:rRNA from 1 species
UACGUAGGGGGCAAGCGUUGUCCGGAAUCAUUGGGCGUAAAGAGCGUGUAGGCGGCUUGGUAAGUCCGCUGUGAAAGUCCAGGGCUCAACCCUGGAAUGCCGGUGGAAACUGUCAAGCUUGAGUCCGGAAGAGGCGAGUGGAAUUCCUGGUGUAGCGGUGAAAUGCGCAGAUAUCAGGAGGAACACCAAUGGCGAAGGCAGCUCGCUGGGACGGUAACUGACGCUGGAGACGCGAAAGCGUGGGGAGCAAACAGG